CCUACGGGGGGCAGCAGUGAGGAAUAUUGGUCAAUGGACGAGAGUCUGAACCAGCCAAGUAGCGUGAAGGAUGACUGCCCUAUGGGUUGUAAACUUCUUUUAUAUGGGAAUAAAAUGUUCCACGUGUGGGAUUUUGUAUGUACCAUAUGAAUAAGGAUCGGCUAACUCCGUGCCAGCAGCCGCGGCAAUACGGAGGAUCCGAGCGUUAUCCGGAUUUAUUGGGUUUAAAGGGAGCGUAGGUGGAUUGUUAAGUCAGUUGUGAAAGUUUGCGGCUCAACCGUAAAAUUGCAGUUGAAACUGGCAGUCUUGAGUACAGUAGAGGUGGGCGGAAUUCGUGGUGUAGCGGUGAAAUGCUUAGAUAUCACGAAGAACUCCGAUUGCGAAGGCAGUUCACUGGACUGCAACUGACACUGAGGCUCGAAAGUGUGGGUAUCAAACAGGAUUAGAUACCCUUGUAGUC
rnacentral:rRNA from 1 species